rnacentral:tRNA from 2 species
GGGGGUGUAGCUCAGCUCGGCAGAGCGCUUCGUUCGCAACGAAGAGGCCACGGGUUCAAAUCCCGUCACCUCCA